AGCAUCUUAGGGGAGGCAUUUGGAUUAACGAAUCUGUAAAUCCAACGUAACUCAAGUGCAAUAAUGUUUGAAUUUUCAUGAAGUGUAAUUAUUCUUUUGUUGUUUAUUUUGACAUAAUUUGUACAGUUUAAAAGUUAAAUACAGUUACUUCUUUUGUUUGUAUUGGUGAAAUUAGUUUUUUGAGUUCCAUUAUUUAUUUUGAUGUAAAUAAGUGGAUUUCAUUGUCUCCAGAAGAUAGUGGUAAAUUUAUCCCUGUAAAAUUUAACCUAUUAAAUAAUUAAAAUUUUCAUUAUUAUUUAAAGAUAAUUUUAAUUUAUUAUAAAUAAGAUAAUUCUAAUUCAUUAUAAAGGAAAUAGAGUUUAGAUUUUACUAUUUAAUAAAUUUUGUACAGAAGAUUGAGUGUGGCGGAAGUCGAGUUGGGCACUUUAAAGAAAAAAAUCGAGAAUAGGUGAAGUGGAGGUCUAACGUAGCUUGAGUUACAUUAUAUUUUUGACUUACAUCAGAACAAAUACCCAAAGUAAUAAAACUUGAGGGCCCGUUUGGUUCGAGUUAUGUAAUAUUACGAAGUAUCUCGAUAUAUCUAGGUAUUUUGGAUUUCGGCGUGAGAUUACUACUAAUGCUGCAUUAGAGCGUUUGGUUUAAUACAGUAAUAUAAUACUAGAUUACAGUAUUUAUAGCAUUAAUAUGUUUGGUUCAGUUUAUAAAAUUUAGUAGUCCUGACAUAAAAGUAGAGUUUUUUCCAAAAUUGCCCUUGUUGUGGUCAUUUGAAUAUUAUUUUUACGGAAAUGACGAAUGGAGGGAAGGAGAUCGUGAUGAUUACUUGGGAGGACGACGCAAUAGAAGAUGAUAGGUGUUCGUGCGAGAGAGAGAGAGAGAGAGAGCGAGAGAAAGCAGCGUGCGAAAGAGAGGGCCAGGGGACGGCGAGAGAGAGAUGAAAAUAAUGCUGUUAAUUAGAUUUUGGGUUGUUGGAGGAUAAAAUUGUCAUUUUACAUAAUAUGUAGUAUUAACGAGUUUCAGUAAUACAAGAUACACGACCCCCCUUCCGUUAAUAUUUUCGAUGUAAUCCUGCUCGAUUUAUAAUGCUACAUUAACGACUAGAUUACAUAGCGGAUUAACCAAACACAGUUAUCCUGACAGGAUUGUCUGUAAUCCUGCCAGGAUAACUCGAACCAAACGCACCCUGAGUUCCACCCCUCUACUUACAUCAAAAUAAACGGUCUCUU
rnacentral:lncRNA from 1 species